UGGGAUUAGCAUCCUGUCACCAGGUAGCGGCCUUCUGUACCCCCCAUUGUAACACGUGUGUAGCCCCGGACGUAAGGGCCGUGCUGAUUUGACGUCAUCCCCACCUUCCUCACAUCUUACGACGGCAGUCUCUCCAGAGUCCUCAGCAUGACCUGUUAGUAACUGAAGAUAAGGGUUGCGCUCGUUAUGGCACUUAAGCCGACACCUCACGGCACGAGCUGACGACAACCAUGCAGCACCUUCACAUUUGUCUUACGACUAACCAAUUUCUUGAUUAUUCAAAUGCAAUUUAAGCCCGGGUAAGGUUCCUCGCGUAUCAUCGAAUUAAACCACAUGUUCCUCCGCUUGUGCGGGCCCCCGUCAAUUCCUUUGAGUUUCACCGUUGCCGGCGUACUCCCCAGGUGGAAUACUUAAUGCUUUCGCUUGGCCGCUUACUGUAUAUCGCAAACAGCGAGUAUUCAUCGUUUACUGUGUGGACUACCAGGGUAUCUAAUCCUGUUUGAUACCCACACUUUCGAGCAUCAGUGUCAGUUGCAGUCCAGUGAGCUGCCUUCGCAAUCGGAGUUCUUCGUGAUAUCUAAGCAUUUCACCGCUACACCACGAAUUCCGCCCACCUCUACUGUACUCAAGACAGCCAGUAUCAACUGCAAUUUUACGGUUGAGCCGCAAACUUUCACAACUGACUUAACUGUCCACCUACGCUCCCUUUAAACCCAAUAAAUCCGGAUAACGCUCGGAUCCUCCGUAUUACCGCGGCUGCUGGCACGGAGUUAGCCGAUCCUUAUUCAUAUGGUACAUACAAAAAUCCACACGUGGACCACUUUAUUCCCAUAUAAAAGAAGUUUACAACCCAUAGGGCAGUCAUCCUUCACGCUACUUGGCUGGUUCAGACUCUCGUCCAUUGACCAAUAUUCCUCACUGCUGCCUCCCGUAGGAGUUUGGACCGUGUCUCAGUUCCAAUGUGGGGGACCUUCCUCUCAGAACCCCUAUCCAUCGAAGGUUUGGUGGGCCGUUACCCCACCAACUGCCUAAUGGAACGCAUCCCCAUCGAUAACCGAAAUUCUUUAAUAAUCAAACCAUGCGGUUCUAUUAUGCCAUCGGGUAUUAAUCUUUCUUUCG
rnacentral:rRNA from 1 species